GCCGCUGUAACCCAGAUGGUAGAGGCGUCGCCAGUAGGUACAGAUGGCGAAGGUUGCUGGUUCGAAUCCAGCCUGUGGUG